rnacentral:lncRNA from 1 species
AGAAUUGGAAAACUGGUAUUAGUUGGACUGUCUCUGAGGCAUUUUCACAAACAGGUUGUGGUAAUAGCAUAUUAACUAUGAUUGCACCUCUUUCGUUACUUGAGUCUGUUUGUUUGUUUUUAAAUCUGUUCCAGCACCAUUCCUAGGUUCAUUUUGAUGUGCCACCGUGAUUGAAUUCCUUUUUAUUGCUUUAAAUUUAGUUGUUGAAAAUUCUUGCCUACCACCUGUUUGUUAAAAGGUGUUGUAGUGCAGUUUCUGUGUUAACAUUUUCUGGCAGCAACCACGUUUUGAGCAAUCAUCUCUAGAAUAAUUUGUG